AUGGUCGACUUGAUCAUGGAAGUUUUGGUCGUUAUUCCUAAUUGGACUGUGCCGUACAUUGCAUAUAUUCUCAGGAAAGAACUCCUAGAGGAUGAAGAAGAGGCUCGUCAGAUUGUCCGUCGAUCCAAAGCCUUUAUUGUGAUGGGCGGACAGCUUUAUAGAGAAAGUGUUACUGGAGUUGCUCAGAGAUGCAUCACGCCGGAAGAAAGCCGAAUGAUCCUCAAUGAUAUCCACUCGGGGACCUGUGGUCACCAUGCGUCCUCUCGGACCAUCGUGGCCAAAGCAUACCGAGUGGGAUUUUACUGGCCACGUGCUAAUGAUAUGGCAAAAGAAAUAGUUGACAAGUGUGAGGGCUGUCAGUUCUACUCCAACAUGUCCCACAAGCCUACAUCAGCCUUGAAGACCAUUCCACUCGUCUAG
rnacentral:rRNA from 1 species